rnacentral:lncRNA from 1 species
AGUUUUCGGGACAAAAUCAUAAAGUGAUAGUUUGUAGGCAUGGUUCCAUAAAUUGUGGUAGUUUUUGGUUAAAUACUCACCUUAUUUAGCUUUUGGUCAAUCUUGGCCAUUUCAGACGUGGAGAUUUCUCUCCCUUCUGUGAUUUAAUGAUUGGGACUCUCCCUGUUUUUCCUUGCUUAAAUCAGUGAGAGGCAAAGCUCUUGCAUUUUUUCUCAAAUAAAAGAAGGAACGGGGAAGAGAUGAAGUUUGAACAUACCUGCAUGCCGUUGGCGGUGAGAUUCGCCUCAAAACAUCCAUCAAUUUGGAGGUGAUUUUUGAGAAACCCCUCAUCAAUUAGGAGAAUCACCUCAGAAUCUCUACCAAUUUGAGGCUUUUCUGAAAAAUUGUCAAGUGCUCGUGUAGAACAGGGGGACAGCUAGAAGCAAUGUUGUGCAUUGGACGUGAGGACGUGAAGCUUCUACCUUGACCCUAAAAUAUAACAAGCUGCCACCUUCUCAAACAUCACAGCUACAAGGAAUACUUCCAUAAUAUCUAACCAAUUGUGUUCCAGAAGAUGCACAACAGCCAAAAAAGAGUCAAAGCGGUUAAACUGCAAGAUAUGAGUAUUUAAUCAAAAACUAUCAUAAUUCAUGGAACCAUGCCUACAAACUAUCACUUUACAAUUUUGUUCCGAAAAAUACCAUUUUCCUAAUCUGUGACUAAAAACUAUCAUUUUUAGAUUUGGUAGUUUUUAGUUACAGAUUAGGAAAGAAAUGAUAGUUUUCGGAACAAAAUCAUAAAGUGAUAGUUUGUAGGUAUAGUUUCAUUAAUUGUGGUAGUUUUUGGUUAAAUACUCGUUGAGAACGGAAUCCUCCCGACGAAGGAAUAUUUUGGCUUUGUUUCAUGUGCAUUUCUACAACCAGUCGACCAUCUAUCUUGAGUUAGGCAGAAUAUAUCUUUGGUUCACUUUUUGUACAACAAACAAUAGAUGUAAUGUAAAGCCAAACAUAUACAACUAGUAUGAUGUUAAAAACGCUUUUAUAUUAUGGGACAGAGGGAGUUGUUUCUAGUAGAGAGGAGCAGUUCGUGCUAAUAUGAGGUGACAAAGUGGUAUUAUUCGUUGGGCUUCUUUUUUGUCACAGGUGAAUCAGAAAAUUUAAAAGAAGCCCUUGCUGGUGCUUAGCGGGGCGUUUGCCGAUUAUGAGGGUGAGGUUCUCGGGGUAAAAAUCUGGUCGAUAACUAACUUUGGGAAGGAUGUGAUUCGUUUAGUCCUAAUAGUCGUAAUUAAAUCAUUUAUUUAAUAUACUUUUUCUGUUUUAAAAUAAGUGACUUAAAAUAAGUCUUGUCACGCCGCGGCACGGACUGCAUAGUGUGGCGUCGUCUUGUGGCACCCAACCAUGGUCGGUAGUACGACCAGCCGCAUCCUGGCCACGCGGGAGGAGGUAAUGAAGUGGUUGGAGGCGUGCCGUCACUGUGCCGCCUCGCCCUGUCGCGGUCGGCUAUGGUCAGAGGUUCGGUCGCCGGCACUGCAGCCAUGUGUGUGCUGACCAGUGGUACUCGGAUCGUUGUAGCCACGUCUGGCUGAUGUGUCCCCCGUCGCGUUAGCCUGGGUGAUGUGGAAGGUGCUGACCCGCCGGCUGGCGGGUCGCCCACGAGCCGGAUAGAGGGCGGUCUCGCCCUAAGCUAGCUCGCGUUGUGUAGGCGGCCAGGGGCAACCGGUUUACGGGAGUAAGCGUCCGUCCCAUACUAUUUUGAAAAAAGAAGGGGUUGCCCGAAUGAGCCUAUCUCGGGUUUAUCCCCCUUCAAUCAUGGUAGUACAAGGAAAACUAAAAGUAAUAAAAAUUACAUCCAGAUCCGAAGACCACCUAGCAACGAUUACAAGCACUGAAGCGAGCCGAAGACGCUCCGUUGUCAUCGUCCUUCCUUCGUUAGAGCCGGACAAACGUUGUUGUAAUAGACAAUCGAAAAAUCGUCGUACUAAGAUCCCAUAUGAUCACCAACACACGAGAACAACAAACGUCACAGAUGAAAAAUAUAGAUCGAAAUUAUCCAACCUAAAAACAUACGGACAAAGACGAAGGACGAACAGAUCCGAACAAAUCCAAAUAAAACAGAUCGUGGAAAACACAAUUCCACAAACACACCGACAAACGUAGCGUUGCCGUUGCGUUUGGUCUAAACUGGAGGUACUUUUGGCUUCUCCAUCGAUCAUAGGAGCAAUUACUGGAGUGAAGCCGUUUUCUUCUUCUUCUUCUUCUUUGUUGCUGGAGUUGGAGCGAACCCGUCGACCCAGAAUAAUGAACGAGAGCACGGACAUGCCGGUGUUCGUACGUACGCACACUGCUGUUCGUCGUUAGGCACUGUAGAUCCAACUAACCAUCUCAACCGUCUAAUCACUUGAUCAACGGACUGAUUUCCCUAUUAACAAAAUCCUGGUCACUAACGAAAAGUCCCUCGUCGCUAACGAAAAAAAAUCGCCGCGAUCGGCCGCGAACUGCUCCCGCAAGCCCCCUCUGGCCCGCUCGCCCCCACCCCGCUCGUCUCGCUCGUCCCGCGCACGGCCGCCGCCGCUCCGCUCGNNNNNNNNNNNNNNNNNNNNNNNNNNNNNNNNNNNNNNNNNNNNNNNNNNNNNNNNNNNNNNNNNNNNNNNNNNNNNNNNNNNNNNNNNNNNNNNNNNNNGGGCGCGUGACCCGACGGCGACCCGGCCGGGAGCGCGCACGCGGCCGGCAUGGGCAGGUCGCGCUCGCUCGCACGGAACGGCAGGACAUAGCCCGACGCCGACGCGGCCCGGGGCCUGUGCGCAUGCGUCCGGGCAAACGCGCCUCUUGGGCGCGCGGACCGGCACCGGCGCGAGCGUGCACCCAAGGUAAGUACGUACUGCGUGACGGCAAACGGUGGCCUGUCGCUCGCACGGACAAACAGGACAUGACUCGCGGCGACGGACGGCCGUGCGUCCACCAGCUCGACGGGACGGCGGCGACAGACGGCCGUGCAUCCACCAGCUCGACGGGACGGCCAACGUAUAGCACGUACGUGCGUGCGGCGGCGUAAAUGAAUGCACGCUCGUACGUAUAGCACGUACAGUACGUAACGUACGUACGCGCGCGCGUACCGAUCGAUCUCGAUCUGGCCGCGUUGGGCGGCGGCGCAUUGAUUAACUGGGCGCGCGUGACCGUGGAUCCGUCCGUGAUCCGGUGCGGGCGGGCGUGCACGGUGCGUACCGUUGCUGGUACGCUGCCGCACCUGCCUGCACGUACAGGUCUACACUACAUGCCCUAGGCUUAGGAGCCGCGAUGCAUCGGCAUGUUCCGGUAGUCCACGUACGUAGUACCGCUCGCUCAUGCAUGUGCAGUUUGUCUCCAUGCCGAUCCACCUGCCCCCGUCCCCUGGCCGCUUGCCCCGCUACCACGGCGCCCUCAACUCACCUCCAUCCUCGGCGAGUAAAUAGCCAAAAACCAUCACAAUUAAAUUAUUUAUUGUGAAAAAUCAUCGUUUUCAUAAAAGUUUAUCAAAAAUAUUGAUUUUGAGUAAUUGUUUGCUCAAAGCAUAAAAAACGACGCUGGAUCGCAUUUUAUCAUGAAAACUGACAGUCGGGUCCAUUGUGAGUGAUGAUGCGGCAUAGAAAACUCACACCGUUUGACACGGCCGUUAAGCUCACAUAGGGCUUACCUGUCAUCCUCUCUCCUUCAUCUUCUUCUUCCUUCUUGCUCAUGUACUGCUAUCCCACCGCGCCGCGCUUCCCCUUCCUACGACUUAUCCUACUCCGGCGAGCACCGGGACGUCGAAUCCGACGCGCCAUGUCGGCUGCCGCUUCAAGUACCUCUAUGCCGAAUCGGGCGGGAGGGUCGCGGGAACCUUGAACUCAGCCUCCCCGGAGCGAGUUGGGGCUCGGGCGCGCAGGAGCUCAGGAUAUCCGGUGAGGGCACGUGGGUAGCUCGGCCUCCCAUGAGUGAUCAGGAGCGCGGGCGCGCGAGCUCCUCCUUGUCGCCCAACACGCCACUCAACUCGCCGGCUGCUGCUGCCUCCUCCACGAGUCAAGUUGGCUGCGCGUAGGAGCUCAGACUCGCUGGAGCGGGCUCGCGGGGACCUCGCUGGAGCGGACAGGGGCGCCGGCGCGCGAGCUCCUCCUCCUUGUAGCCCAGCACGGUAGCCACCUUGUCCUCCAUGGGCCCGUGCAGAGCUGCAGGGGCAGCUGACUUUGGUGAUGCUCCGACGAGUUGCGCAACGACACCACCACGUCGAACUCCUUCGUCGUGCGGAAGCUAACUGUCCUCCACCUCUCCACCCCGAUGCACUCAAGAUGCUUGAUGAAAUGCAAGAGAGAAUUAUAGGUGUUCACAUAUGUGCUCCAUUGUAACCUAACGCUUCAGUCAGAUAGUCCAACGCCCGUCUUGGCUGGCCAUUACCCCGUGCCACGUGGCCCUAACAAAUGGGUCCAUUGUCAUUUUUCAUGUCAAAAUGUCGUCAAUCAUCGUUUUCAGUGCUUUCGGUAAACAAUCAGUUAAUAUCGAUAUUUUCGGUAAACUUUCAUAAAAAUGAUGGUUUUUCACGACUCAACUGUGCUGGUUUUCAACAAUUUACUCAUCGCCGGCUCGACCCAAACCAGUCAACACGAGAAAUAUAUGGAGUGCAGACGAAGAGGGCGGUGCAAUGGCAAUGUCAGGAGGCUGAUCGAUGGAAACUGCCGGUGACCAGCAGAAACAAGAAGCCGGUUCCCGCAAAAUAAAUGACCGGGAAAGAUCCCUUUUGGACGCUGCUCCUCGUCAGGUACUGUGAUCGGGACCGCGCGCCCUCCGAUCUAUUUUUGUUUUCCUACUCUGAUCAUCUCUCUAGAUCUUUACGGCUUGCUGUUGGCGGUUUCAUGCGGUAGCUAGACUUUUAUUCCAUUCCAUUCCUUUCCUUUGGCACUGAGACGAUCCGGGGUACUCCCGUCCUCCCGUUAUUUUUUGUACGGUGGAACCCGGUUCAUUCUUGGCUCCUACGGGGAAAAAAAAGUUACUGACCUGCAUCGAUAUCGAUCGGUCGAGCCAUAGUUUUUUCACCGUGUACGGCGACGUGCCGACGUCCGCCCCGGUCUCGGCGAUGCGAUAAGCAAGAUACGUGUGUGCCGGACCGUACAUACCGUAUUGGCGCGAAAGCAUCAUGAUUACCGGUCGUGAUCAGCCCCACGAUCAAGUGUCACGCCGGGUUUGCUCACAUCCCACGUACGUGCGUACGCCUCGAUCGAGAUUGCAACGGCGAUGAACCCGGGCAUUGGCACAUGCACAUGCAUUGACGCAUGAAACACGAGACCAUCUACGGCUUAGCUAGGCCGGUCCUCUACGUUAACGUUAACGUUAACAUCAUCAUAGAUUCAUAUCUAGCCACAUGCUGCGCAACUUGGGCAGCACACGUACGUGUCGCCUCUCCAUCGGACGCACACAUCAGCCGUACGGAGCAAAACAAAACAUUGGUACUCCUACAAGAAAGAGUACGAUCACGGAUCGCUCCUGUUACCACGCACGCACGCCCGGCAAUCAAAGUGUCCAAGUAUAUAUGCCGUGCACGCGGCCAGCCAGCCAGUCACACCAAACCUCUCGCUCUCGCAUGGCGUGUGUGCAUCGCCGGUCUAUAAUAAAUUGUACGUGUAGCGUCGGUUGAUAAAUCGCGUAGCGGUGCCGACCAAGUGCAAUGUAAAAUGUGUCGAGUUAGUCGCAACAAAACAUGAUGAUUACGGUCGUGAUCAUCGGCCCAUCAUCAAGUGUGUCACUCUCGUUCGCCAUGCAUGUACGGCCUCGAGAUCGCAAACUGCGGAACACGAGUCGGCCUGGUCCUGGAAGUAGGAGUAGUACUAAUUAUAAAGAGCAUAAUUUUUUUCCCAAUCGUGCUCACAUCCCUUCUCAUUAAUCAUUUAACGGAAAUACAUCGUACGAGUUUCUCGUGAACUAUCGACCAAAUGCUAAAGAGAACAGAAAACAAGGAUAAAACUAAAAGAUAGAAAAGGAAAAAAACGUGUUGGAGCAUCGGCAGGAAACCGUUGCGAAUGUUUACAAAAGAAACAUCCAUCGUGGGACGAAAAUCUACCGACACUACCCAUCACACAACAUAAAGGAACCGUACUACCAGGAGAUCAAUCCACUCCCUAAGAGUCUAACCAUGACUGCAAAAAAGAUCACAAACACACUCAGCGGGCAUCAAACCCCCGUGAGGAUAACACGUAGCCAGACUUCAACCAACAUGAGCUCUACCAUCAUAGCCCAGCGCAGCUCUGCUCCGAAAACGAUCGGCCUAAGAUGCCGCCACCCGCGCCAUCAACUGGACUCCUGCCUGAAGCUUAGACUUGUUCCUUCCUUUCAAAUGACCUGACCAGUAUAUUACGAAAGAACAAGCAGUGAAAACGGCUUCUAAUGGACUUCUAACCACAUGCUUCUUAAAGGUAACUUUGUUACAAGUGCACCAUAUACUCCAGCAAAUAGCAGCCAAAAUCAUCAUAUAAAAUUUACCAUCCCCGGCAGGAAUCUGUAUAGCCAGGCCUAGGAUUGCCACAAGGAAUAUGGACAACAAGUUGCGCCAACAGCUACCCUGAACAUCCCCUAAACCGAACGAGCAAAAGUGCAGCCGAAAAACAGGUGCUCCGAUGUUUCAACAUUCUCACAGAAGGAACAUAAUGGAUUUUCGGGCCAGUUUCUUUUCCGCAUAUUAUCGCUAGUAAGAACAACAUUUUGCAAUAGCUGCCACAGAUUUUUUUUUAAUUUUCAGAGAAAUAUUAGCUUUCCAAACCCACUUAUAGUCAGGUCCAUUAAGGUCUUUCUCCAACCAAUUGUAAUUAAACCGAUUUAACAGAAAACAAUUUGUUAGAAUUAAAUUUUCAAACCACCUUAUCGGCAAACUAGAUAACACCAAGUUUCGAGCAUCAUUAACAAUCUCUUUCCAUCGUCGAGCCAGCUUCCCGAAUAGCGUACGUCUAAAUGAGAUGUCAUAAUUGUUACCGACAAAGGUUGCAAGAUUGCAUUUUUAAUCAUCACAUAUAUCAAAUCACAUAGGACAGUUAUCUUUUAAAGGCAUGUCAUCAAACCAAGGUUCGUGCCACAAUCUGACGAGACCCCAUCAUUCCUAGUGAUCUCUCUACCAGCCAUAUACACAUCAAUUAUAAAUAGCAUCAUAAUUAGGGCCGUAGUAGUACACUUCGUCUACAACCGACUGGUGUCGCAUCCCGGCCGUAUCCAUCAACCCAGGCCCCGUAACCCGUCAGUACCAUAUACAGUAGCAAACUGGUACGUACGAUAAACUCAUAUUACCACACAUGUCCAAGUCAGCCGUACACACGGUCACGUCACGCACAUAUAUAGCAGCACACGCGUAGUAAAUAUAAGAAUUGGGUGUGUCUAGGGCAAUCUCCACACAUGUGUAUAAUCUUCACGUAAGACCAUUGAUAUAGAACUCAGAUAUAUAAUACUUAUAUCACAUCUAGAUGUGUUUUAAUAAAGGGUGUGUCUAGGUCUCAGCCGACUGAGACUUCGCGACUGAGACUUCGCAAAAUCUCAGUCAAGUAGUAUAAUAUGAGACUGAAAAAAAAUGCAAAAUCUGCACGCGUCUAAAUGCAAAAAUCUGCACGAAUCUAAAUGCAAAAUCAACGAAUUAUAGGCCCUGUUUGGAUACUCUAACCGGGUUAGAGGUUAGAGUUAGAUUCUAACCCUCAACUAACCCUGAACUAACUCUAACCCAAGAGGUGUUUGGAUGAGAGGGUUAGAUUGGCAAUAAAUGCUUUUUCCCAAUCAUUUUACUACUUUUGUCCAUGUUCAGUGUCGGAUUUGGUGUGGCCGGUCGUUGUGUGGUUGUGGCGGAACGGCGUGGGGUGGGGUGCUGCAGACGGCGGCUGGCAACNNNNNNNNNNNNNNNNNNNNNNNNNNNNNNNNNNNNNNNNNNNNNNNNNNNNNNNNNNNNNNNNNNNNNNNNNNNNNNNNNNNNNNNNNNNNNNNNNNNNUAUAUAUAUAUAUAUAUAUAUAUAAGGUUAACUUAUCUUAUUAUGCAUAAUUAUUCAUUGCUUACGAGGCAGCACGUUAAUUCAGAUAUGCAUAAUUAUUUCUAUUUAAAUUAUAUGAAAACUAAUUCCCGAACACCAAACGAGGCAGCACGUUAAUCUCCCGAACACCUAAACCCUAAAACCCUAAAACCCAAAAAUAAUUUCAUUCAAAAAAAAAACCCAAAAAUAAGCAAAAUCUGAAACUCUUUAGUCCCGGUCCGUGUAACGAACCGGGACUAAAGGGCCCACCCCUGGGGCGCUACGUGUAACAGGGCCGGGACUAAAAGUUAGGCCUUUAGUCCCGCCCCUUUAGUCCCGGUUGUUGAACCGGGACUAAAGCCCCUUACGGACCGGGGCUAAAGGUUCCGUCCCCAUUAGUGACAUUCAUCAGAAAAUGUUAAAAUUAUACGAAUCCGUGUCGCAUCCGGUGGAACAAGUGCGGCUAGCCGUACUUAUACAAUGGUCAUGUGCCAUGCUGGACACAUUCUUUUGCAGGCCCGUGUUGUAUGUCCAUUCAGAAGACAUCAUCUCGAUACGUGGAUCAUGCUUUAUAAUGCACCCGUUUUGCUUAUCACACACACACUCCGCAUGAUCGUUUUUGCUCUUCACUCCUUCGCUUUUCCGCGACAACCCGAAGACGCACGGUUCAUUUCGAAACGUAAAUAACAAAAGAAAAAAAAACUGCCACAUGAUAGCAAAUUCAAAACAGACAAUGUAAACAAGAGCACGAAAGUUUUCUUAACCAUCCCAAGCAAAAUAAAUUAUGACACUCCCUCUAUAAGUAAAUAUAAAGAAAUGGUAUCCCUUAUUGAUUUUUUGGAAUUCCAAUUUUUUGGCAUAGUCGGCUCUUUGACGCGUUAAAAAAAAAAAAAAAAAAAAAAAAAAAAAAAN